CGUAAUAAAACUGUUGCCUGUCAAGCACUCUGCAUUUGUCCUUUAUCUUCUUUCCUGCAGCCUGUGUCUGCUGGCAGAUCACUGGGACUGAGGGUACAAACACAACUACAAUCUCUUCAGAGACAAAGGUAGGUCAAACAGCAACUGCAGCUGUCUUUCCCAGUUCAUCCACAACUACAGGUUUUAAUAGUCAGCUCACAACUACAUCCCUUCAAGAAACAGCC
rnacentral:lncRNA from 1 species